CGGGCAAUAAAACCGUCACCGACAACUGUCACACACACACACACACACACACACACACACACAUACCCAGUUUCGUUAAGAGUCUUACUUAUCACAAAGCUGGGCGGAAUCGGGGCGUACAGGCAUUGUCGAGAUGCUUCAGUGUCAAUUCAAUUUUAUUUUCAUUGUGUCAUAACAAUAACAUAAAAUUAAAAUAACAUAAAAAGGAAAUUGAGGAUGCACAGAAAACAGUUCGCUCCGUGGAAGAGCAACCGAGUUGUCGGCUGCAAAUCAACUUGGCGUAAAAUUGCCAGGCCGUGUGCUUCUUCCUGCUGUUGUUGCAACAGCUGCUGCUUUUGAUAUUAUCCUUGUUAUGUGUAUUUCGUCAGUGACAUAUAAAAAAGGCAACAAAGCACAUGAGCUCUGCAUAAAACAGGAAACGGAAACACAUCAGCGGAACGGAAGUCAAAAAGUCGUCACAUUCACAUAACAAUGAUGGCAGCCGUAUACCCAGCAUGCAAGACAUUCCGCUUUGUUUUGCCCGACUUUGAAUAGCAGGAGUAUGACUGGGAGACGAAGCGGUUUGCGCGGAGGGGGCCACCAUGACUUACCAAAAAGCGGGCAUCUCCAGCUUUUGGACGAUUUCAGUUCUGAGAUUCCACCAAAUGGCCCCCAUUUUUUGUAUCCUUUUUUGUUAUUUUCUGACAGCGUUGUUUGGUGUCUGGCACUGUGUCUGUCCUUUCGCCAUUGCCAGGAAUUCAUUUGGAAAAUUAAUAAAAAUAUAUGUGUACACGCAUACACAUACAUAUACGACGCAGCAGGAAAAACACUGGAGCACAGUUACCAUUGCCUCCCCCGACCCCCCUCGCUUAAGAUUAUAUUAUGCGGGUGAGAAAUAAUAUAACACAAGGUGAAAGGCUUUAUAGAAAAUAUAAAUACAGCGGGGCUUGUUAACAGCCAAGGCCUACAGGAAUCAAUACCGUAGUAAAAUUUAAAAUAUUGGAUCAUAAUACUUGUACAAUUAUUAUUGUCUUUUAGCGCAAUAUAUUCUAUCAUUUUAAUACACUCGACAAUAAACCGAAAAUCGACUGGAGCACAAAAUAA